rnacentral:rRNA from 1 species
CAGUCUCCACGGUAAAACAGAGGGUGCGAGCGUUAAUCGGAUUUACUGGGCGUAAAGCGUGCGUAGGCGGCUUUUUAAGUCGGAUGUGAAAUCCCUGAGCUUAACUUAGGAAUUGCAUUCGAUACUGGGAAGCUAGAGUAUGGGAGAGGAUGGUAGAAUUCCAGGUGUAGCGGUGAAAUGCGUAGAGAUCUGGAGGAAUACCGAUGGCGAAGGCAGCCAUCUGGCCUAAUACUGACGCUGAGGUACGAAAGCAUGGGGAGCAAACAGGAUUAGAUACCCCAGUAGUCCCUGUCUCUUAUAC